UAAAAAGCAGGACGCUGUGCUCUCUACAAGCAGUGCCCUCGUAAUCUUUAGGAACAAGCAUGCUCAUCGUUAUUGGGUGAACCUUCGGACUCGUUCAUGUGUUGGACGAUCUUGUCCAUUGUUCAGUAAAUGAUGGCACACUU
rnacentral:snoRNA from 1 species